rnacentral:rRNA from 1 species
UACAGAGGUCUCAAGCGUUGUUCGGAUUCAUUGGGCGUAAAGCGUGCGCAGGCGGCGCGUUAAGACAGGUGUGAAAGCCCCGAGCUUAACUUGGGAAUUGCGCUUGUGACUGGCGUGCUGGAGUGUGGCAGAGGGAGGUGGAAUUCCACGUGUAGCAGUGAAAUGCGUAGAGAUGAUGGAGGAACACCGAUGGCGAAGGCAGCCUCCUGGGCCAGCACUGACGCUCAUGCACGAAAGCGUGGGGAGCAAACAGG